UUGAGGGGAAUGUUGUCUGGCACGAGGCCCUUAACUCAGAUCUACUACACUUGAUUAUAUAUUUAUAAGUACUCUCUUCUUUAUUUAAUUAGUCUACACGUAUAUGUAUGAAUGAUCUAACGGUUAAUGACGUCGGACCAGGCUUCAUUCCCCUCAA
rnacentral:pre_miRNA from 1 species